rnacentral:rRNA from 1 species
AACGAACGCUGGCGGCAGGCUUAACACAUGCAAGUCGAACGGGCGUAGCAAUACGUCAGUGGCAGACGGGUGAGUAACACGUGGGAACCUUCCUCGUAGUACGGAACAACUCAGGGAAACUUGAGCUAAUACCGUAUACGUCCGAGAGGAGAAAGAUUUAUCGCUAUGAGACGGGCCCGCGUCCGAUUAGGUAGUUGGUGGGGUAACGGCCUACCAAGCCGACGAUCGGUAGCUGAUCUGAGAGGAUGAUCAGCCACACUGGGACUGAGACACGGCCAAGACUCCUACGGGAGGCAGCAGUGGGGAAUCUUGGACAAUGGGCGCAAGCCUGAUCCAGCCAUGCCGCGUGAGUGAAGAAGGCCUUAGGGUUGUAAAGCUCUUUUGCCAGGGACGAUAAUGACGGUACCUGGAGAAUAAGCCCCGGCAAACUUCGUGCCAGCAGCCGCCGUAAAAC